UACGAAGGGGGCUAGCGUUGUUCGGAAUUACUGGGCGUAAAGCGCACGUAGGCGGUCUACUAAGUCAGGGGUGAAAUCCCGGGGCUCAACCCCGGAACUGCCUUUGAUACUGAUAGUCUCGAGUCCGGAAGAGGUGAGUGGAAUUCCGAGUGUAGAGGUGAAAUUCGUAGAUAUUCGGAGGAACACCAGUGGCGAAGGCGGCUCACUGGUCCGGUACUGACGCUGAGGUGCGAAAGCGUGGGGAGCAAACAGG
rnacentral:rRNA from 1 species